rnacentral:rRNA from 1 species
GACAAACGCUGGCGGCGUGCUUAACACAUGCAAGUCGAACGGAAAGGCCCUGCUUUUGUGGGGUGCUCGAGUGGCGAACGGGUGAGUAACACGUGAGUAACCUGCCCUUGACUUUGGGAUAACUUCAGGAAACUGGGGCUAAUACCGGAUAGGAGCUCCUGCUGCAUGGUGGGGGUUGGAAAGUUUCGGCGGUUGGGGAUGGACUCGCGGCUUAUCAGCUUGUUGGUGGGGUAGUGGCUUACCAAGGCUUUGACGGGUAGCCGGCCUGAGAGGGUGACCGGCCACAUUGGGACUGAGAUGCGGCCCAGACUCCUACGGGAGGCAGCAGUGGGGAAUAUUGCACAAUGGGCGGAAGCCUGAUGCAGCAACGCCGCGUGCGGGAUGACGGCCUUCGGGUUGUAAACCGCUUUCGCCUGUGACGAAGCGUGAGUGACGGUAAUGGGUAAAGAAGCACCGGCUAACUACGUG